UACGUAGGGUGCGAGCGUUGUCCGGAAUUAUUGGGCGUAAAGGGCUCGUAGGCGGUCUGUCGCGUCGGGAGUGAAAACUCAGGGCUUAACCCUGAGCCUGCUUCCGAUACGGGCAGACUAGAGGUAUGCAGGGGAGAACGGAAUUCCUGGUGUAGCGGUGGAAUGCGCAGAUAUCAGGAGGAACACCGGUGGCGAAGGCGGUUCUCUGGGCAUGUCCUGACGCUGAGGAGCGAAAGCGUGGGGAGCGAACAGG
rnacentral:rRNA from 1 species